UUUGAGCAGCUGCAGUAUCAGUUCAGUCACUGUGGCUCUGACUGACAAGAGUUUUUUGUACGACUCUUUAUCACUGUGUAAACGUUGGACCAUGGUGUGCACUAUGACAGUAAUAAUGUCCAGCAUCUUCAGUCUGGACUCCACUGAUGGUCAGAGUGAAAUCACUGCUAGAUCCACUGCCUUUGAAUCUAGGUGGAGUUCCUGACUGGUGGACAUCUGCAUCAAAAACCAGGAGUUUAGGAGCUUCUCCGGGUUUCUGUAAGUACCAGGCUAAAUAGUACUUCCUGCUCCAACUGUAUACACCUCUGCUGAUUUUACAGUUGAUGUUCACAGUUUGUCCUGGUUGAGCUGCUGUCAUUGAGGGACUCUGAGUGAUCCUGAUCUGUCCUUUGCUCUCUGAAACACACAACAAGAAGAAAAUCACCUCAAAACUUUGACAAUAUACUAUGAAUUCAUCUCAAACUUGUGCUUCACCAACCUUGAGCAAACGCUGCCAGAGUCCAGAUGAAGAUGAUGAUGAAGGUCAUGUUGAUGAAGAUUGUUGUGUCAGUGAUGAAGUGUUAUACUCACAGCACUAUAAAUACUCUCAGAGCACUGAAGCACCUGAUCAAUAUGCAAACAGACUCUAGAUCAUUUACCUAAAGACAGCAGAUACUCCGUUUCACCAUGUAAUAUCUUUGCUAAUACUUUUUAAAUGACCAAUUUACAGAAACAAACACUCAUGAUUUACUUCAUAUUAUUUUGGUUUGAUCUUCUCCUUCUAAACAUGGUUUUAAUGAUCAGUUUUAUUCAGACUUUGAUGCUGAGAGCGUUUAAUACAUGUGCUGCAGAUUUUAUAUCACUCAUGAAACUGUAUAACAGGUCAAAGAUCAUCCAAUAGGGAAUGACCAUCUAAAUCUUGCUAAAGAUUUCAUUGUAAAGCAGGUAAAUAGAAUUACCAAUGUGUUUUUUUAAAUGUGAUAAAUGCAUUUCAGCACUGAUUAUGAAACUAAUUAUUUUACCAUCAUGCAACAGGUUUUUCUUUUAAGAUGAAGAUUGUAUGCCUCUUUUUAGACCAAUCCAUGGCUGAUGUUGAGAAGAGCUGCUGUUGAGUCUCAUAUCAGUGUGUCGUUCGCUCUUCCUCUGCUGGAGUUGGUGUUCAUUUGAGUGUGACGGAGGUUUUUGUAUGACGCUUUCACUAGAAAGAAGCACUGUGGUACACUUUCAGUGGAGGAACUAAACUGACGAUCAGAACUGGUCCCACAGUGAAGCCCUCCGUGUCUCUGCUGCCGCCCUCUCCUCUGCAGAUCUCUGGAGACUCAGCCGCACUGCUCUGCCUGCUCAGCUCUUACUCUCCACAGGGGACGCAGGUGAGCUGGACGCUGGAUGGGUCAGAAGUCCAGCAGCGUCCUGAGCCUCAGCAAAGCACGCUGGGAAGGUGCAAAGCGGUUUGUCUGCAGAGUAACACAUGACAGAGCUGCUUACGAGGCCUCGUUCUUCAAGAGCUCCAAGUGCUGAUGUUUCUCCAGUGAAGAUGAGCCAUAUCAGAAUUUGUGUGAUUAAUAGCUCAAUACUGAACCAGUCUUUCAAUGUGCUGCGUUUGCUGUUCAUUCAAUAAAGCUUCUGAACGCAUUAUAUUUGUGUUCGACUGCAUCAUUGAACA